rnacentral:lncRNA from 1 species
CUUAGUUUCGUCUUCAAAUGAUCCAAAAGAGGCGGAGCCCUAAUCCCAGUCUCGUAAUGAUUUCCGCGCGUGCAGCUUUCUAUCUAGUUAUUUAUAAACGUAUUUGGAUGGAACACACCACACUCUGAAAAGCGUUUGCAUGGCUAGUGAAUCAGUAAUAUUAAAUAACUAUAUAAGUACGGUGCUUAAUAUUGUGAGUUGAUCUAUAUAGCGCUACGUUUAUUCGUUCAGCUCUCUGCCUUCGCCUAGCCUCUUGGACCCCAGUUCACACAAAACCAACAGAUAGGCCUACAGAGCUUUAGAGAUGGAUCGUCGACAGAAAACCGUGCUGCUCUUUCUGGUAUCAGCCUUCAUUAUGUUCAUGUGCCCCGGCGAGACUCGGGCAAGCUGCUGUUGCCCCACCUUUUGGACUGCCUACAACGGUCAUUGUUACAGACUAUUCAGUGACCGGAAGACUUGGCAUGAAGCAGAGGAAUUUUGCAACCAAUUCUCGGUGCCGUCUCUAGGCCUGGGUGAAACAGCCAGAGAUAGCUUGGGACAUCUCGUAUCCAUCAAUUCUCCAGAUGAACACGAUUUCGUCGCCACUUACUACAAAUCUGCCACGGGUACCUCUCAUGAUUUAUGGCUUGGUUGCCACGACACCACCAAUGAGGGUACGUUCAAGUGGACCGACCGAUCACCGUUCAAUUUCAGCAUGUGGUAUUCCAACCAACCAAGUAACAGUGGUUCGGGUGAAGACUGCGGUGAGAUGACGGUCACGUUCGGCUACGAGUGGAAUGACGACGGAUGUGACGGUACUACAUAUUUCAUGUGCAAGAUUCCAAUUUGGUAGAUAAUUUGAUGUAAGCUAGCGCUAGCUGUGACAGGAUCAUAUCUGUCUACCAUUUUUUCGUUCCUGUCUUUUGUCUGGUAUCAAGUGCAUCUUUCAUUUAAUGCAACAAUUUUUUGCAAUAAUAUCGCUACUAGCCACGAUAUAUCAAAGGUGGCAUGCAUAAUACAUUUUCACUGUAUGUACGGAGUGCAGGGGCAGAGACAAUGUAUUUUUUUAAAUGACCGUUUUUAGAGCGAGGCCGAGUUUGCCCGAAGUCCGAGUUAGCACGGAUUCGUUAUAGGAAUAGUGCAGUGCAUGGGUACUUUACGUGCAAAGGUGUUGACUCUCCUCUAUACAGGGCCUCUAUUUAACGUCCAAAAUAGUGAUGGAUGGAUGGAACGUUUCCACUGCAACAUAGCCUGUGUUUAUGAAACGGGGGGGGGGGGGGGGCACAUAACACAAAACACAAGCUUAAGUCAUCUGCCUGGGUUGGAAUCGAACCCAUGAUCUAUGAUUUGACAGGCAAACGCUUUAUCUACCGAGCCAACUCACCUCCCUACUUUUUAUUUUUGUAUGGGUAAAUUGCUCCAUAAUGAUAAUCCCACUUCAUUCUCGAUCCUACUGUCAUUCAUAUGGAAAAUGAGAGUUUGAGCUUUGAAAUCAUAUUUUCAAUAAUACAAAAUUAAUUUUCAUUUCCUUAAAAAUCAUAAUCAACCAAAUGUAUCAGUGAAUCGCUUAUUUUGGACAAAUGGGAUCCUAUCACUACCACUUCAGAUUAUGUCUUAAUGAAAUAAUGAUAGAAAGUGAGCUUUCCAAUGAUGUAUAUUUUGAUGAAAAAUAAUUUGGAAUUCUUGAGUAAUUGACAAAUAAAAUACAGUUUCCUUUUUCAUUUAGGGACAUCCUGUACUAACCAUGCAUAUCCCAUACUUUUCCCCUCUAUUAUCAAAGUACAUGUAUGCGCAGAUACAUGCAGAGCCUCAAUAUUUGAUAUCUCCAUAGUAAAUGUUAUAGUUGAUGCAUAACGAAAAAGACCAAACCAAACGAAAGGCUGUUAAUACCAACUACAUCUGAAUAAUUGCACUUUAUUAAGACUUGGGAAUAAAUUGAGUUUAAUUUAAAGCAUGCAUACCAUUAUAGAUGAGAAGCAUUUUUCUGUGUCAUUUCUAAAUACAUGUACACCUGUUCUUGAUAAAUAGUGCAUUUAUAUGUGUAUUAUUUUCUGGAUAGAACUAUAGAAAUAUUAGACAUAACAUAUCAUCAUACAUAUUUGAACUAAAAUUAUAACAUAUCUAUAUGUAUAGUAGGUACAGGAUACAUCUGUACAAACAAUCUUUUAUCAAGGUAUAUUAUUUAAUUAUACAUUAACGUACAAGAUUUCACAAGAUAAGAAAGGAAAAGCUGGGGAAAUGGAAGGAGUUUAGAGCCAGAAGAUAUGAACAUGUUCCAAAGUAUAAAUUUCUUACCUAGCAACUGGAAUGAUGUAGAUUAAUUAUGGUGGAUGUCUUGAGCAUUUAAAAAUAAAAACAAAUCUAAUUUCAGAA